rnacentral:rRNA from 1 species
GCUUACACUGCAAGUCGAACGCAUCCUUCGGGGUGAGUGGCAGACGGGUGAGUAACACGUGGGAACGUGCCCUUCAGUUCGGGAUAACCCAGGGAAACUUGGGCUAAUACCGGAUACGUCCUUAGGGAGAAAGAUUUAUCGCUGAAGGAUCGGCCCGCGUCUGAUUAGCUAGUUGGUGGGGUAAUGGCCUACCAAGGCGACGAUCAGUAGCUGGUCUGAGAGGAUGAUCAGCCACACUGGGACUGAGACACGGCCCAGACUCCUACGGGAGGCAGCAGUGGGGAAUAUUGGACAAUGGGCGCAAGCCUGAUCCAGCCAUGCCGCGUGAGUGAUGAAGGCCCUAGGGUUGUAAAGCUCUUUCGGCGGGGACGAUAAUGACGGUACCCGCAGAAGAAGCCCCGGCUAACUUCGUGCCAGCAGCCGCGGUAAUACGAAGGGGGCUAGCGUUGUUCGGAAUCACUGGGCGUAAAGGGCGCGUAGGCGGCUAUUCAAGUCGGGGGUGAAAGCCUGUGGCUCAACCACAGAAUUGCCUUCGAUACUGUUUGGCUUGAGACCGGAAGAGGACAGCGGAACUGCGAGUGUAGAGGUGAAAUUCGUAGAUAUUCGCAAGAACACCAGUGGCGAAGGCGGCUGUCUGGUCCGGUUCUGACGCUGAGGCGCGAAAGCGUG